CGGCUCAAUAAAAUAAGAAAAAGGGUAUCUAAAUUCUUGUGUUAAUAUGUUUUAAAAAUGUAAUAGAAAGUGAAAGUUUAUAUUGUUCAACUGUGCAUUUCCCUCCCUCAAAAUCCUGUUGGAAACAAAUUCAAAAAACAAGAGAGAAAGAAGAACAAAAGAGUAUUGAAUCCAAUGUGUAUAACACAGUAACAGCUCAAAAACACAUAAUAGAGGAAGCAAUUACCAAAGAAACACCUCUUUCUUCUUUCUUCAACCCUAAUUUAAUUUCAUCCUCUCUUCAUUCUUGAAUUCCUUUUCCCUCUCUUUCAUAUUCCGCCAUGUAAUUCCUCACCUCUUCUUUAAUCAUCUUCUGCAUCACACAAAUGAAUUCCUCACCAAAACACGCCCGUUUCCGUCUCUCUUUCUCCUCCACCGCCGAUGAUGAUAUACUCUGCUCCCCUCCUAUCGGCGAUAACGUAUCUGCUCCUGGAAGACACAGAGUUAACCGAGUCGACGGUUCCAUAUCCGUACUCCGAACCGAAUCGCUCGUUUCGGAUUCCGACGGACUCAAACACUGAUUCGAAACCGAAAUCGUCGAUCCUUGACUCGCGCAAUCAGUUUUCUUCUCCCUAAUCCAACUGAACUUGCGUUUCAAUGUCGAAUUCCAGUGAUUCUUAAUCGCAUUGUCCGUUCGUCCAUUCAGAAGCCUAGCGAUCGUCGCCCACUUGUUUCCGUACUUUCCGUGGGCUUCUACGAUGAUUUCGUCCUCCUCUGCUGUGAAAGAUCGGCGCUCCACGCCAGGACAGAGCUGAUUAAACCACCGCAGACGGCAGGAUUUUCCUGACCGGCCGUGAAUCGACUUACUGAUAAUCGACCAAUUCCGAGCGCCUUGAUUCUUCACUAACAUUCGCAGCAACUCGUCUUCCUCGGGACUCCAUGGGCCUUUCACCCGAUCGAUGUCCGCCUGUGUAGACC
rnacentral:misc_RNA from 1 species